GGAUGUUAGGGCCAUCUGGCUGCGACAUCUGUCACUCUAUUGAUCGCCAGGGUUGAUUUGGCUGAUCUGGCUAGCUAGGUGGGGGUCCCUUUCCUUUCUCACUGCUCCAUGUGAGUCCCUCCCAAAGCUGCAGGCUCGGUUGAAGAGGACGGCCUUCCCCAAAUAGAGAAGGAUUCGUCUUUGGUCAAGGGUAUAUGAGCACCUUCUAGAACCUCCAAACACACUAGAUGUGUAUGUUGGUGCUAUUCAAAGUUUAAAACUUAAAACAACAGAAAAACAUUCCCAUCUCAUUU
rnacentral:snRNA from 1 species